rnacentral:piRNA from 1 species
UGGUGUUUUAUUUACGAGCUGUAAGCCUA